UUUAUAUAAGAGACGUUCUGUAUGUUAAUACAUAUGGAACGGUUAGGAUAGUUAACCGUUCUCUAUUUCUUUUUACUCAAAUAGUUAAAAAAAAAUAAUUAUUUAUUAUAGAUGAUAUAGAACGGUAUCUUGACAACCGUUUUAUAUUCUAUUAAUUUUUUAAAAAAAAAAUAGGAUGAAAUUGUAUACAGACGGAGUAAUAAUUUACCCAAAUUAUCUAAGGCAGCUAAAUGGGAAAAGUGAAGUGCGCUUCUCUUUCAAUUUCACUAGAAUACUAAUUCAAAAAAAUAUGUGAAACCUCUUUCUCGACUCAUUCAUCAGCAAAAAACAAAAAAAAAAAAAAAAAAAAAAGUUGAAACCUCCAUUAAACCUCCAUAUCAAAACCUUCAUCAGCCGCUUACAGAGCCGCUCAACCGCCGCUCCACGUCUGCAGCACUGCACCAGUAAAUUGAGUUGAUUUGAUCUUACUAUAAAAUCUGAGACCUGACCAGAAAGUGUCCUAGCUUUCGAGCUCUAUAAUGGCUUCUCCAACGUUGAGGAGCUUUAAGAGUAUGGGACCGGAGGGUUAGUCUCAGUCUGCUCAAAAUGCUGGAGGGUCUGCAAAGGUUUUGAAUAUACAAUAUGUCGUAGAACUCACUGAGGUUGGGGAGGGUCUCUUGGCGAAAAUGUAUAGACUCAAUCAAAUUUUAGAUCAUCCGGAUAUGGUCAACCAUUUGUUUUCGGAGUCUUUUUGGAAAGCUGGUGUGAUUCCUAAUUUUCCAAAGAUAUGUACUUUGGUCGCAAGGAAGUUCCCGGAGCAUACCAGCAGAUUACAACUUGAGUGUAUCCCGCAGGAGUAAAAGAUGAACCUCCCAAAUUUGCUCAAACAAUAAUCAACAAGGCAAUGAUCAAUUUUAGCGCGGAACAUCGAAAGGAUAUCACAAAAAUAAAGAAGAAACCUUACAUUAAAUGGAUAAGCAUAGAGUGUCCUCGUCAAGCUAAUGGCUCUAGUGAUAGUGGAUAUUAUGUUUGUCGCUACAUGAUUGAGGCAAUUGAAUCUAGGCAAAUGAUCAUCCCCGACAAGUAUUUUAAGCAAGUUCCUCAUACAUAUUCUCAACAAAUGAUUUACGAGGUUAGGGAAAGGUAGAUUUCAUAUGUUACCGGAUACCAUCAACCAAAUGACGACGACGAUGAUUUAUGUGAAUUGUAGAUCAAUAUGGUAUUGGUAUAUUUUGGGGCAUCAAUUUUUUUUUAAAUCAACAUUAACUAGAAAGGUUUUUGAUAUUUAACUCACGUAUUUGUUUGUUUAGAACAAAUUUUGUAUGAUUGAUUUAAUUUAAUUGUGGUUGGAUGUUUUAAAUUAUAUAAAUAUGAAGUAUAUUUUGA